UGCGUAGGCGGGUUAAUAAGUCAGUGGUGAAAACCUUCAGCUUAACUGGAGACUUGCCAUUGAUACUGUUAGUCUUGAGUACGGUCAAGGUAGGCGGAAUGUGUAAUGUAGCGGUGAAAUGCUUAGAUAUUACACAGAACACCGAUUGCGAAGGCAGCUUACUGGACCAUUACUGACGCUGAGGCACGAAAGCGUGGGGAGCGAACAGGAUUAGAUACCCUGGUAGUC
rnacentral:rRNA from 1 species